rnacentral:misc_RNA from 1 species
ACCUUGAGUCUCGCCUCGUUCCUGUAAGCUUAUCCAAUCUGAUAUACAUGCGUAUGCGACUAUGUGUGUAUAUGUCUAUUGGUGUGAUCGUUAAUUAUUGGUGAAGUUGUAAUGUUGAAUAAAUUGUAGUUCGGUGGAGCCUUCAGCUGUAUUUAGUUUCGUAUCCUACCUAACAGUAGGCAUUUUUGAGCUGGUAAGUUUUGUUUGGGUGCUGAGAAAAUGCAGGGCACGAAAGAAAAAUGAAUAUGGACAAUGAAUAGGUGCUUGUUAGAAUGUAUGUAUGCUUGUUAGGGAGUGUUGUUGUACACGGCAGUCAAUUCAGUUUUAUGCAGUGUGAAUUCUUUUCUUGUGCUUGACAUUCCUUAGGGACAACCAGCUGAAAAUGAAGAG